rnacentral:piRNA from 1 species
UAAAUGUAGACACUCAGCUUGCUUCCC